AUCAUGGGAUUCUCCGUGAUGGCAGCAAAGAGACAACAUGGGGUGGAGAUGCAGGUCGUCAGUACACUGAAGGCGUUGCGUUCUGUCAGGGCGUUGGGUUCGAUGCAGAGCAUCGGAGACGUUGCCGUUGUCCUUGCACGACUCAUCAGAUCCAACCCCGGGCCCGCGCCAGCUAUGUACGGAGCCCUCGAUACGGUGCUCAGUCUCUGCAACUGCAACUCGAUGCCUUGCAUGAAGCUGCCAGCUAUUGAGGACCUCUCUUAAUUACCCAGUUCUGAAUGGAGUCAGUUGAGGUCGUCUAUAAAUUUCCUUGUGAUGUGCUUGCAAACCAAGACUUUGUUGAGGCUUUUCUGCGGGGUCAGGGGAGACGCCAGUGAUCAAGCGGCAGCGGCCUACAGCCUGGGAGACCUGCACAAGGGAGCCGCCAAGAUCUCCAACGACAUCCUCGACUCUGUCGGGGUUUCAUUAUAUGCAACAACAAAAAAUUUGACAACAGUAUACGCGACAAAUGGUGCUUGCUGCAAUCUCCUCAUACUUACCAGGGUUGAGUGCCCAACAUUCCCGAAGAUGGCACCCGAGACGUGUCCGCAGCCAGAAGCAGCGAAGUUGCCGUACAAGAAGCUGGGAGAUUCAGAUCUCCUUAUUAGCGAGAUAACUCUUAGAACAAUGAUCUUUGGAUAGCAAAGAACAGAGAAGGAAUCCCAUGAUAUGCUCUCUUAUUCUUUUAAUCAGGGCAUCAACAUACUGGACACCGCAGAAAUUGCCGGAGACUCAAGGGAGGACUGAUCUAUAUGUAGGCAGGUGGAUGAAAUCCAAGCCACGAGACAAAGUACCCUAAACCGGCCUUAUAAUUUAUUUGCAGUUUUCUAAUCCAUUUGGAGUUCCCUGAUUCCCACUUCAGAUAGCAUGCUUCUGAAUCCAUUUGUCGUUCCCAGCUCACUAUGUUUCCGACUAGACAACUUUAGCCACCAAAAUUUCUGGUUAUUCAGAUCACACUUUUCAUCGGUACAAUGCAGAAAGGUGUGUGUUGAUGAUCCCAUUAUAAAGGAAAGUGUCGAAAAGAGCCUUUCAUGCUUAUCUAAAGACUACACUGAUUUUCUUCACAUACACUGGGUAGUGUUUAUUUCAAAGAUUAUUUUUGCUCAGAAUAAUUUUCACAUCUUGUUCCAGAUUGAUUCAUACACAAUCAUAUUUCACAUUUUGCAUUUCCUUACUGAACUUGAAAAUUGUAAAUCUGAGUUCUCUUUUUCAUCCUCUGUGAGUCCUUUUGUCGUCUUAUACAGACUGUUUUCAGCACACAUUCUUCAUGUUAAUUCUUUCAUUUUUCACAUAGAAUUUUUCAUACUUUGUUUGUAUUAAUAUGUCAUCAUUAUUAUUUUAUUUGACAAAAAAGACAACUUUGGCUCCAAAGUUUGCUUUAUGUCUUCAGGCUAGAUAGGUAUGUCGCACGUUACGGUGAAUUCAGUUACAAUUCAACCAAAUGGAGGCCAAGCGUCCCAUGUGUGGAUCAAUGGAAAGCUUUCAGGAACUAAUUAGGAACUAAUUGGUAAAGGGAAGGUACAAUAUAUCGGUGUUUCCAAUGAAACCACGUAUGGAGUAAUGCAGUUUGUACAUGCUGCAAAGCUUGAUGGACUUCCAAAGAUUAUGAGCAUCUAGAAUGGUUAUAGUCAACUUGUGAGAUGCAGCUUCGAAGGUGAAGCGGAGAUGUCAGCCAUAAUUUAUUCAUUUUCAUUCACUGGAAUUCCAUGCCAUCCCUGUUGUUUUGAAACUUAUUUGCAGACAUGUAAUUUAGAGAAAGAGGGAGGAAAGAACUCCUCGGUUGUAGUUUAGAUCAUCGGCCUGCUGUCAUCUCUUUCAUAAUUAAAAUUUUAGUCGAAUAGUCUUGGCUUCUUAUUAGGUCUUUGGAGUUAUGUUCAGUGGUUAUCAUUCAUCAUCAUCAUGAGAUGAUUUCAUUUUGUGGAUGCUUGAGUUUAGAAAAUUUAGGCUCUGCAGUCCAUCAUCUCUAUAGGUAUAAGUCUUUGUAGGAUGUAAGACUGUUACUCUAUGUUCAUAUAAGCCUACCUAUUAAUAAUAUUUCUGAUUUA